rnacentral:tRNA from 1 species
CGCGCCGUAGAGCAGCUCGGUAACUCGCCUGGCUCAUAACCAGGAGGCCGCGGAUUCAACUCCCGCCGGCGCCAC